rnacentral:misc_RNA from 1 species
GUAAGAAUUUUACAUUUCAGAAAGCGGGGAAAAAAUCAUUUACUUGACUUCUGCAGGUUGUUUCAUACAGCAGCGCACUAUGCAUGUUCUCUCUCACUGCUUAAAGAGUUCACGACCAAUUAUCAUUCUUCUGAUUUCACUAGUCCCUGCCCCAAUUUCAUACAAUUUGGCAUCUCGAAGAAGGCGGCCAGUUGAGUACUCAUUUACAUACCCAUUACCACCUAAGCAUUGUAUAGCCUGCAAAGCAACUUGGGUUGCCCUUUCAGCUGCACAGAGUAUGACUCCAGCACAAUCCUUUGGGUCAACUUUCCCAUUGUCACAGUCCCUUGCAACAGAAUAAACAUAGGACCUUGAAGAUUGUAAAGAAGUAUACAUGUCAGCAAUUUUCCCCUGUAUAAACUGAAAUUCCCCAAUUGGACGGCCGAACUGUUCUCUUUGUCGAAUAUAAGGAAGAACAACAUCAAGACAUGCCUGCAUGAUCCCCAAAGGUCCAGCAGCCAAAACAAGUCUUUCCAAAUCUAGCCCUGACAUCAUGACAUAAACUCCUUUUCCUUCUUGCCCAAGCACAUUUUCUUCUGGAACAAAGCAAUUCUCAAAGACAAGCUCACAUGUAUCACUUCCUCGCAUCCCAAGCUUGUCUAGUUUCUGGGCGGUACUAAAUCCAGGCAUUCCCUUCUCAAUGAUAAAUGCUGUGAUUCCUUUUGAGCCAGCCUUGAUGUCUGUUUUUGCAUAGAUAACCAAUGUCUGAGCAACUGGCCCAUUUGUGCACCACAUCUUGUUCCCAUUUAGAAUAUAGCCCCCAUCUGCACGAUCAGCUUUGCAUUUCAUGCUAACAACAUCAGAGCCAGCAUUGGGUUCACUCAUUGCAAGAGCUCCCACAUGCUCUCCACUGAUAAGCUUUGGCAAGUACUUCUGUUUCUGAGCAGGACUUCCAUUCCUCACCAACUGAUUAAUGCAGAGGUUAGAAUGGGCACCGUAGGAAAGGCCAANNNNGAAGCACGGCUAAUUUCUUCCAUAGCUAUGCAGUGAUACAAGUAACCAAGACCAAGUCCUCCAUAUUCCUCUGGUGCCGUAAUUCCAAGUAGAUUAAAAUCCCCCAUCAGUUUCCACAAGUUAACAUCCUUGGGGAAAUUAUUGGUUUGGUCUAUUU